rnacentral:rRNA from 1 species
GACGAACGCUGGCGGCGUGCUUAACACAUGCAAGUCGAACGGAAAGGCCCUGCUUUUGUGGGGUGCUCGAGUGGCGAACGGGAGUAACACGUGAGUAACCUGCCCUUGACUUUGGGAUAACUUCAGGAAACUGGGGCUAAUACCGGAUAGGAGCUCCUGCUGCAUGGUGGGGGUUGGAAAGUUUCGGCGGUUGGGGAUGGACUCGCGGCUUAUCAGCUUGUUGGUGGGGUAGUGGCUUACCAAGGCUUUGACGGGUAGCCGGCCUGAGAGGGUGACCGGCCACAUUGGGACUGAGAUACGGCCCAGACUCCUACGGGAGGCAGCAGUGGGGAAUAUUGCACAAUGGGCGGAAGCCUGAUGCAGCAACGCCGCGUGCGGGAUGACGGCCUUCGGGUUGUAAACCGCUUUCGCCUGUGACGAAGCGUGAGUGACGGUAAUGGGUAAAGAAGCACCGGCUAACUACGUG